rnacentral:rRNA from 1 species
CUUUCAACAACGGAUCUCUUGGUUCUGGCAUCGAUGAAGAACGCAGCGAAAUGCGAUAAGUAGUGUGAAUUGCAGAAUUCAGUGAAUCAUCGAAUCUUUGAACGCACAUUGCGCCCCUUGGUAUCCCGAGGGGCAUGCCUGUUCGAGCGUCA